GAAUGUUGUAUAUUUGUUAUAAUUUGAGAAACUGUAUUAAUAGAUUGGUGUAGCUGCAUGUCAGCAGAGGAUGGAGCUCGUAGCAGAGAGGCUGCAGGCUGGUGCUGCUGCCCAUCGAGUUGAUGCUGUUGUUGCGCUAUAAUUUGCUGUGGCAUACUUGCUGCUAUUUGUGGAGCUGAAGUUGUGGAUUGCUGCUGCUGGUUGUCAGCAGAAGAUAUAGCCCAAAUACGGGAGGAUUGUGAUGCAGGCUGGUGCUGCUGACCAACGUGUUUAUGCUGUUGCUGCGCCUUCAUUAGCUGUCGAUUUUGCGUGCUUGCUGCAGUUUGGGAACCUGGAGUAUCAGAUUUAUGCUGCUGACUGACAGCAGAGGUUGUCGCCUGUUGCUGAGAGGCUAAUGCUGUGGGCUGGUGCUGGUGGCCGGCUGAUCGAUGCUGCUGCUGUGACGCCAAUAUCUGGAGAUAUUGUAUAUUUGCUGACAUAGAAGGAGCUGGUGUUGUAGAUUGCUGUUGCUGUGCUGCGGGCUGAAGCUGCUGGUCGACCGUUUGAUACUGCUGCUGUAUCACCAUUUGUUGUUGGUGGUGUAUGCUUGCUGCAAUUUGAGGAACUAGAGUUGCUGUUUGCUGUGAUCGUGAGUCUGCAGGAGAUGACGUUUGUGGCUGAGAGAAUCAUCACUAUGGUGGCAGAUUUCCAUAUUGGAGGGAAAUACCCAUGUCGAAGAAUAUUAUUGUAAAUAUUUAGGAGAAAUACUACUGCUUUAAAAGGAACGUGAUGGGUCUAGCGAAUGGUGAGGUCGACUGGUAGCCUGCGUUGGAGUCCCUUGUGAGAGAGAAGAA